CCUACGGGAGGCAGCAGUGGGGAAUCUUGCACAAUGGACGAAAGUCUGAUGCAGCGAUCCCGCGUGAAGGAUGAAGCAUUACGGUGUGUAAACUUCUUUUUUGGUGGAAGACGAAUGACGGUACACCAAGAAUAAGAGACGGCUAACUACGUGCCAGCAGCCGCGGUAAU
rnacentral:rRNA from 1 species